CAUCAUAGGGGCUAGGUCUAUGGUUCAACAUAUCGUUCACAAUGUAUUUUACUAUUUGUCUCUCUCUUUUCUCUCUCAAACUUUGAUUUGUCUUCAUUAUUUCGAUCACCAUCGGAUCUGCACCGGGCCCCGUUUCUGACGAGAUGUGCACCGUUGCCGACUGAGCUCUAUUUCGAUCUAAUUAUUGAUGAGAGAUUCCAUCGAGGACUGCCGAUUCAGAAAUCAAGCUUUGAUUCUUCUAUCAAUUUCAUCUCUAUGUUCAUUCUAACUCAGACUCCUUUAUUGUUCUAUACUGCUUUUCAAUGUUCUUAUUGAAGUUAUGAUGCUUGCUAACUAUGGGCCACUGCUGUAUAGUUUUCUAUUCAUGCAUUUUUUUCAUGACCAACCAAACACAUUAGCACAGCCUUUCCUCCUGAUUUGAAUUUGGUGGAUUGAUUGUCUAACCAGAGUCUUGGUAGAUUUGUGUAAUUGUCCUGUGUUUGUGUCAUAUUGCCUUGAAACCACAGAAUUAUCAAUGGCCGCAGCUACAAGUUUGUCCUAGAUAGUGGUAGGUUUGUUGGCAGGCAUAAUCUGUUUGAGGUAAGUUUAUUGGUCUAUUCAAAGGCUUUACAUGACCCUUAGAUGCUCUGGGCCCCAUGCGCGCUACGGUGAUGUUUUCAACGAGUCUAUAGCCUUGGCUGACAUGCCCGGGUAAUCUUUGAAAUUAAAAAAAAAAAUUCCUUAAGUAGGUUUUCCAGUUAUAUUAGAGUAUUCAAACAGCUUGACAAAGCUUGAAAAUUGAGAGAGAGGUCUAUGUCAAAUAGCAAGUUAAGUUCAGGCUUUGUGUUGAUAAAACAGGGAAGGCCCUUUAAGGUAAAGAUUGACACCUUUCCCUGCCUACCCUGUGGUCACAAAACGGUCAUUUGUAAUUGAAUUGAACUAUCAGAAAUUUAUUCCAAUCACACUAUACUAUCUGAUUUUGUUUUGAAUUAAUAAACAUUUGUUGAGUAAUGAUCAUUCACGUUUGAUUACAUAUUUGAAAGAUGAUAUUAGCAAUAUUUAUUUAACAUUCCUGAUUAAUGGCUAUCUGAUGUAGAUAGGGAGCUAGUUGACUUGGCUGCCACAGAGCAGAAGGAAUAAGAUGCCAUUGCCUCCGUAUGAUUGUAUGCUUCUAUUUAAGCCCCAUAUAAGAAAGGAAGCCCUCAUUGAUUUGGUUUCCAGGGUGGGAAAACAUGUGUACAGAAGAAAUGGGGUUGUCACUGAUAUAAAGAGUUUCGGACCAGUUCAGUUGGGCUAUGGUAUAAAAAAGCUCGAUGGCAGAUAUUAUCAGGGCCAACUGAUGCAACUGAGCAUGAUGGCUACUCCUGACAUCAACAAAGAGCUCCAUUACUUAAACAAAGAAGAUAGGCUUCUGCGUUGGCUUCUUGUUAAACAACGGAACACAAAAUUUGGGCUUGACUUCCUUGGCGAGGAAGGUGCAAUUGAGCUUAGUGAAUUGUCUCAAAGCAGAAAACUCUAUGAUUAUGAGAAUGCGGAUGAGGAUGAUGAUGAUGGCGAUGAUGAUGAAUAUGAGGUUAAUGAAGAAGGGCACAAAAUGAACUAAAAGAUAACUGAGUAUUUUGUUUGUUUCCAAAAUAAGAGGAUAAAACCAUUGGACCAAUAGGUAUUUUAUGUUCAACUUGUGCUUAUCGAUAGCGCUAGGUAAGAACUGAGACAUGAUCACUGUUGUCUCUUCUUGCUAUUUGACAGAAUAAGAUUUUUGUAGCUUGCUGAAAUUUUAGUUUACAAAUGUGCUAGUCUUGACCCGGAGCAGUUGAGCUCGUCCAAAAUAGUUGUGGCCUACGAUAUCUCAAGGAAAACAAUAAUGGUCAGAGGAUAAGAGCAGUUUCAAUAUGCAUCGAUGCAUUGACAUGUAAAAUUGCAUGCAAGUGGCAAAGAAGUGAGAAAUGGUGAAUGGGUGAACCUAUCUUUUUCCUAUUUAAGAAGCACCUUGUAUUUCCCAUGCACAAAGAUGAUAAGCAAGGUUCCAAGCCAUGUGACGGAGAUACCUGAAUAUAUAAUUUUGUCAAAAUCUGUAAAGAAGUUCAGCACA